GAUGAACGCUGGCGGCGUGCCUAACACAUGCAAGUCGAGCGGUAUAUAUCUGAACAAAUCUUCGGAAGAGUAAGGGUAUGGAGAGCGGCGGACGGGUGAGUAACGCGUAGGCAACCUGCCCCAUACAGAGGGAUAGCCUCGGGAAACCGGGAUUAAAACCUCAUAAAGCGAGAGGUUCACAUGAACCUUUGGCCAAAGAUUUAUCGGUAUGGGAUGGGCCUGCGUCUGAUUAGCUAGUUGGUGGGGUAACGGCCUACCAAGGCAACGAUCAGUAGCCGACCUGAGAGGGUAAUCGGCCACAUUGGAACUGAGACACGGUCCAAACUCCUACGGGAGGCAGCAGUGGGGAAUAUUGCACAAUGGGCGAAAGCCUGAUGCAGCAACGCCGCGUGAGCGAUGAAGGCCUUUGGGUCGUAAAGCUCUGUCCUUGGGGAAGAAAAAAAUGACGGUACCCAUGGAGGAAGCCCCGGCUAACUACGUG
rnacentral:rRNA from 1 species